rnacentral:rRNA from 1 species
AACCUUUAGCUAAAACAAAUAUUAAAGGCGACGCCUGCCCAGUGAAUAAUUAAACGGCCGCGGUACCCUAACCGUGCAAAGGUAGCAUAAUCAUUUGUCUAUUAAUUGUAGACCGGUAUGAAAGGCAAAAUGAGGGUCUAACUGUCUCUUAUAAUAAAUCAAUUAAAUUGAUCUCCCAGUCCAAAAGCUGGAAUACCAACAUAAGACCAGAAGACCCUGUGAAGCUUAAACUAAACUAUUAAAACCUAUAAUAAUACCUUUCGGUUGGGGCGACCUUGGAAAAAAAAAGAACUUCCAAACAUAUGACCUUACAUCAUUUAAUAGGCUAACAAGCCAAAACAUUAGACCCAGCACAGCUGAUAAUUGAACCAAGUUACUCCAGGGAUAACAGCGCUAUCUUCUUCAAGAGCCCAUAUCAAAAAGAAGGUUUACGACCUCGAUGUUGGAUCAGGACAUCCUAAUGGUGCAACCGCUAUUAAGGGUUCGUUUGUUCAACGAUUAAUAGUCCC